rnacentral:ncRNA from 1 species
AAAGUUCUGCCGCCGGGCAGAUUUGUCAGUGCAGCUGCACCGUAUCGUUAGGCCAUAGAAGAUACGUGAAAAAACUCCCUCUCGGGA